UACAGAGGUCCCAAGCGUUGUUCGGAUUCACUGGGCGUAAAGGGUGCGUAGGUGGCGAGGUAAGUCGGAUGUGAAAGCUCGGAGCUCAACUCCGAAAUGGCAUUGGAAACUACCUUGCUCGAGGGUUGGAGGGGGGACUGGAAUUCUCGGUGUAGCAGUGAAAUGCGUAGAUAUCGAGAGGAACACCAGUGGCGAAGGCGGUGUCCUGGACA
rnacentral:rRNA from 1 species